GCCUCCGUAGCUCAGCUGGACAGAGCGGCGGACUUCUAAUCCGUUGGCCGCAGGUUCGAAUCCUGCCGGAGGCA
rnacentral:tRNA from 1 species